AACACUUCGAAAUAAAAUUAUGAAUAUUAAAUUUAUAUUACUUCUAUUUUCAAUUGGGUUAUCCUGUUCAAUAGGAAAUGAAUUAAUGGAAGCAUUUUACAAACAUGCCAAAAGAGUUUCAGUUCAAAUGUAUCCAUGUGAAGUACCCAAACCAAAAGUGAUUUACCUUCAAGAUAUUCUAAACAGUGAGCAAUGGGCAAAAUAUAUGAUAUAUAUACGUCAUAUAAGACCCGUCCAGACAGUGGUCCAUAGAUGUGAAGGUAAUGGAUGCUGUCCAAAAUAUAAUCAGAGAUGUAUAGUAGAACGUGAAGAACCUAUACGAGUGAUGUUUUACAUCAGUUUUGUAAAAAUAUUCAUGGAAUUAAAAUUGAUGAAUCAUACACAAUGCAGUUGUAAAUUAAUGUAAAAUUUUGGGAAAAAUAAAAAUUAUUCACUGUUACCAGUCUCAA